GAUGAACGCUAGCUAUAGGCUUAACACAUGCAAGUCGAGGGGAAACGGCAUUAUGUGCUUGCACAUUUUGGACGUCGACCGGCGCACGGGUGAGUAUCGCGUAUCCAACCUGCCCUUUACUUGGGGAUACCCCGUUGAAAGACGGCCUAAUACCCGAUGUAAUUCAUUGAUGGCAUCAGAUAUGAAUAAAAGAUUUAUCGGUAAAGGAUGGGGAUGCGUCUGAUUAGCUUGUUGGUGAGGUAACGGCUCACCAAGGCGACGAUCAGUAGGGGUUCUGAGAGGAAGGUCCCCCACAUUGGAACUGAGACACGGUCCAAACUCCUACGGGAGGCAGCAGUGAGGAAUAUUGGUCAAUGGGCGCAAGCCUGAACCAGCCAAGUAGCGUGCAGGAAGACGGCCCUAUGGGUUGUAAACUGCUUUUAUACGAGAAUAAUUUGAUGUACGUGUGCGUUAUUGCAUGUAUCGUAUGAAUAAGGACCGGCUAAUUCCGUG
rnacentral:rRNA from 1 species